UUUCCCUUUGGCUCCCUUAUCGUGUCCUCACUCUCUGCCUCCGUUGAAGAGCAGUUGGUCUGCGCGAGUGUGCGGGGUUCGAACCGACCAAGAACAGGUUCCCUUUUUCUUUCUUCGUCUAAAACCGAGAGUGAUUCGAGUGAGCUGUUGAAAAAAGGAGUGUAAGCCUUACAAGACAUCGACAUGAUUACUAAGGCUUUCCUUCCGUUAGUGCUCCUCCUCCAAGUGCUGGCACAGGCGGAGGGCGAAGUGGACCUCGUAAACAACAUGUACGAGGGGCUGGUGGUGGCCCUUGACCCGAACCUGCAAGCGGCAACAGACGCUGACCAACAGGCGGUUAUUGAUGGUGUUAAGGUAAGGGCGUGGGGUGGAGGGAGUG
rnacentral:lncRNA from 1 species